rnacentral:rRNA from 1 species
GAGACACGGCCCAGACUCCUACGGGAGGCAGCAGUGGGGAAUUUUCCGCAAUGGGCGCAAGCCUGACGGAGCAACGCCGCGUGUGGGAUGAAGGCCUGUGGGUUGUAAACCACUUUUCUCAGGGACGAACACAAUGACGGUACCUGAGGAAUCAGCCUCGGCUAACUCUGUGCCAGCAGCCGCGGUAAGACAGAGGAGGCAAGCGUUAUCCGGAAUUAUUGGGCGUAAAGCGUCCGUAGGUGGUCUAGCAAGUCUGGGGUUAAAGCCCGGAGCCCAACUCCGGAUCGGCCUUGGAAACUGCCAGACUCGAGUAAGGUAGGGGUUGCGGGAAUUCCCGGUGUAGCGGUAAAAUGCGUAGAUAUCGGGAAGAACACCAGCGGCGAAAGCGCGCAACUGGGCCAUUACUGACACUGAGGGACGAAAGCUAGGGGAGCGAGUGGGAUUAGAUACCCCAGUAGUCCUAGCCGUAAACGAUGGUGACUAGAUGUGGCUCGUAUUGACCCGAGCCGUGUCGUAGCUAACGCGAUAAGUCACCCGCCUGGGGAGUACGCACGCAAGUGUGAAACUCAAAGGAAUUGACGGGGGCCCGCACAAGCGGUGGAGCAUGUGGAUUAAUUCGAUGCAACGCGAAGAACCUUACCAGGGCUUGACAUCCUGCGAACCCCGCUGAAAGGUGGGGGUGCCUUCGGGAGCGCAGAGACAGGUGGUGCAUGGCUGUCGUCAGCUCGUGUCGUGAGAUGUUGGGUUAAGUCCCGCAACGAGCGCAACCCGCGUCCUUAGUUGCCAGCAUUUAGUUGGGCACUCUGGGGAGACUGCCGGUGACAAGCCGGAGGAAGGUGCGGAUGACGUCAAGUCAGCAUGCCCCUUACCGCCCUGGGCGUCACACGUGCUACAAUGGCCAGCACAAAGGGUAGCC